rnacentral:RNase_P_RNA from 2 species
UCUGAUUUGAACUCAAUCCUCAAUCAGAAAAACCAAAACAUGCAAAUGAGAAAUUCGGAGUAAUCUUCAAACACACAACCCGCUCAACUCUCAACAAAAGAGGGUUGAGUCGGUGCUGCCCGCGAGGGCCCGGCGUGAAGAAUUGUCACACGUCUGCAAUCAGGCAUCAGAAACUUCGGAGGGGGUCAGGGUUCCAGGGUUGUGGGAAACCCCCGCCUCCCUCCCCCCCCCUCCAUGGGAGAGCCGUUGCGAAGAUUGUGUGUACAUCCUCCCUUCUCUCUCCGAUUUUCCUCCCCUGUGGGUGGUUAAGUGGUUGAGUGGGGGAGGUUGUAUGACACUUUAGUGCAAUACGCAGCGUACUGGGUUCUCAUCCUUUUCUUUUUUUAGAAUGGGAUGGAGUCUGGUAUGAAUUCGAUUCCGAUUACUCUGGUGGGGA